GCUCAACAGUGUGGAAACAAAAUUUUUAUAUGUUGUCUCUACCACAUUUUCAAAUUUCUAGUUUCCCAAAAAAAAAAAGGGAAAUUCAACAAAGCUUCAUCAAUGGAGGACAACUACAAAAUCUCAAAAGCUUCACACUAUCUUGAUCAAGAUAGUGUGAAGCAAAAUCAAUUCAUGGUACCCAACAAAAGCUUCACCAAAAAAAGCUUCAACUCCAAAGCUUCACCAACAAAAGCUUCAUCAAUGGAGGACAACUACAAAUUCUCAAAA
rnacentral:lncRNA from 1 species